CAUUUACUCCCUCCGUCCCAAAAUAAGUGACUCAACUUUGUACUACUCAACUUUGUACUAACUUUGUAUAAAGUUGAGUCACUUAUUUUUGUACAAAGUUGAGUCACUUAUUUUGGGACGGAGGGAGUACAUC
rfam:Triticum urartu cultivar G1812 contig192713, whole genome shotgun sequence.